rnacentral:rRNA from 1 species
UACGUAGGGGGCAAGCGUUGUCCGGAAUCAUUGGGCGUAAAGAGCGUGUAGGCGGCCUGAUAAGUCGGUUGUGAAAGUCAAGGGCUCAACCCUUGAAUGCCGACCGAUACUGUCAGGCUAGAGUCCGGAAGAGGCGAUUGGAAUUCCUGGUGUAGCGGUGAAAUGACGCAGAUAUCAGGAGGAACACCAAUGGCGAAGGCAGCUCGCUGGGACGGUACUGACGCUGAGACGCGAAAGCGUGGGGAGCGAACAGG